GCUAAUACCGCAUAAUGCAGAGAGAUCGCAUGGUCUUUCUGCCAAAGAUUUAUCGCUGUGAAAUGGCCUCGCGUCUGAUUAGCUAGUUGGUGAGGUAACGGCCCACCAAGGCGACGAUCAGUAGCCGGACUGAGAGGUUGAUCGGCCACAUUGGGACUGAGACACGGCCCAGACUCCUACGGGAGGCAGCAGUGGGGAAUAUUGGGCAAUGGGCGCAAGCCUGACCCAGCAACGCCGCGUGAAGGAAGAAGGCUUUCGGGUUGUAAACUUCUUUUAUUAGGGACGAUAAUGACGGUACCUAUUGAAUAAGCUCCGGCUAACUACGUGCCAGCAGCCGCGGUAAUACGUAGGGAGCAAGCGUUAUCCGGAUUUACUGGGUGUAAAGGGCGUGUAGGCGGGACUGCAAGUCAGAUGUGAAAACUAUGGGCUCAACUCAUAGCCUGCAUUUGAAACUGUAGUUCUUGAGUGCUGGAGAGGCAAAUGGAACUCCUAGUGUAGCGGUGAAAUGCGUAGAUAUUAGGAAGAACACCAGUGGCGAAGGCGAUUUGCUGGACAGUAACUGACGCUGAGGCGCGAAAGUGUGGGGAGCAAACAGGAUUAGAUACCCUGGUAGUCCACACCGUAAACGAUGAUUACUAGGU
rnacentral:rRNA from 1 species